rnacentral:tRNA from 1 species
GGCGCGGUAGCUCAGAAGGUUAGAGCGCAGGAUUCAUAACCCUGAGGUCGGGGGUUCGAUUCCCCCCUGCGCCACCA